UUAAUGCCUAUCUAGUUUGUCUCUUGUGGCAUUCCUUAGUUUGCAUGCUGCUCUGUCUCCUCCCCCUCUUUGCUGCAUCAGUCAUUUUAAUGCUGUAACUCAUCUGACCUGUGUCUAUUCUCUAUACCUGCAUGGAAGAAUCGUUCUUUUACCUGUUGUAACUUGCAUUCUACGGAUCAUACGACGAAUAAACAUCGCCAGAUCUUCUUUCAUUUAAGCAAGCCGAAAC